AUUCCAUUGUGAGGGCAUCUUCUCAGUAAUUCCUUAAACCUUUCCCAGGCUUCAAACACCGUUUCCGACUCAAGUUGUCCAAAAUUGUUGAUUUCCUUCCUCAUUCU